GCAAUAGAUUUGGUUAGUCAGAUGCACCCUUUCUCCUAGUGGUAAAAAUAUAAAUACGAUAACUCUAGAUGAGAUCCAUAGGCCAAACCCACCUGCAUCUAAGGCUGGACCAGCUGCUAAUGAAGAGUUUCUUUCAUUGUUAGGGGAAAGGUCACUAGAAGAGGAACUGCAAGUUGUACUUGGUAGCCUUGAAGAAGGAUGGUGGUAGUAAAGGUACUCCCGUUGCUCAUACACUUGUUGUUUAUGUUACAGAUAUUUUCCUUGCUAACUCUUAUACUAAUUCUUGGGUAUUUGAUACC
rnacentral:lncRNA from 1 species